AUAAAAUAAUGAAAAAGUAAAAUAGAGAGUGUGAAUAGUAGUUCUCCAAAUUUGGAGAAAUUCACAUCUCUAUAAUCUCUAUAACAGAGAGUAAUAUAAAGAUGGGUUGGAGAGGAUAUUUUCUAUUUUACCCUCCAAAUAUAGAAAUGAAGGGUAAAAUAGAGAGGGGUUGAAGAUGGUCUUAAGAGAAUAAAAUAUUUCUGCCAUCUACUUUUGUUUCUAACUUUUUGCAGCAUCUGAACCAGCCAUAGAUUUCUUGAAAACAGGGGGUGGGGGGCGGGGUUGCUUAUUCUUCAAAUACUUCUAGAAAACAUAUACGAAUAUAAGAGUAAUCAUUAACCUUUGAAUAGUUGAUGUUACCACAUGGUUCUGCUUCUAGAAAACAUAUAAGAACCCUGUGAACAUUCAUCAAGUAACAUAAUUUGAUUUAGUUAAAUGCUUUGUGGAAUGUGAAUCAGUUUCUUGUUCGGUUUGAAACUUUGGCUGUAGCCAGCCAUUACUGUGAGAGUUGGUUCCAUCAAAUUAAUUGGACUUCAUCUUUUCCUCCUUUUGGUAAGAGUGUGCUGAUGGCUGUUAAAUAUCUAUAAAGCUAUUACUCACAAUUUUUUUUUUUUUUUGUAAUCAGUAACUUAUUACUCACAAAUAAUUUUUGUUAUCAUUUUUAUUUUUGCUGUGAUAUUGUUAGAUAACUUGUACCAUCUUAAAGCAACUGGUGACUAUUAUAAUGAUCUUCUCUAUAUCUAUCUAUCUAUUUAUCUAUCUAUCUAUACUAUCUUAAAAGCAGUAACUUCCUAACUUGUAUGUUAAAUUACUAAAAUACCCCAACUAAAAACACUCAAUUUAGUAUAUUUUCUAUAUUAUAUUAAAAGUAGAUACAUUUUCACAUUGAAGGCCCGGAACUAUCACAUCUUUUCUUUGCAGACGAUCUUUUAUCAUGCUUGUCAGAUUCAUAGCAUUGGUUCGUCUUCUCCUUCUCUAGUUAACGUGUUUUACAAGUUCUGUCAAUGUGAUAUCUAUCUUUUUAAAGUAGAGAGCACUACUUUUUAUAAGCAAAAUGAUCUAUAAUCCCCUUAAUGUUGACUACUUUGCAACCUCGCCCUUAAACAGUUCUUGGCCUUCUUUUCUCAGACUAUUUUAACUCCGUGUUGGAGACAUUUCCAUCAGGGUCGCUGUUAGAACUACUACCACUGCUAACACUGUCAUAUACUUUCUAUGGAUGUUUCUGUCACUAACCAGGUACAUUGAGUUUUACGAUGCUAUGUCUGUGCCAAUGGCUAUUGCUUUACCUGGUCACUUGCUUUUUGGCCAACCAGUCAUCGUAAAACCUUCUGAAGCGGAUAAGAACCUUGUUUAGUCAACCGCAUCUGGUGCUGGAUCAGGGUUGGCAGGGACAAAUGCUGCCUCUGAGAGAACUUUAUGUAGGAAAUCUUCAUUUUAACAUGACAGAGUUACAGCUCAGAUAGAUGUUUGAAGCUUUUGGGUCAGUAGAGCUUGUUCAAUUACCUACAAAUCCUGAAACAGGACAUUGCAAAGGAUUUGGAUUUGUCCAAGUUUGCUCAACUUGAACAUGCAAAGGCAUCUCAAAGUUUGAAUUGCAAGCUUGAGAUUGUGGGUCGCACCAUCAAGGUUUCAUCCGUUGCUGAAGAUGUUCGAGUACAAGAUGCUGGAGCUAAAACUACUGAUUUUGAUGAUGAUGAUGGAGGAGGCUUGGGGUUCAGAUGACAAAUGAGCAAGUAGAAGGAUUCACAAUACAAACACAUACAAGUACAAGGGUCCACCAGACCAUUUUGCCAUUUCCAUAUGACAUGACAAGGUAUACAAUAUUGACCCAAAAGUUUUUCAAACAUCUUACUAGUUUGAUCACUUGGCAUACCCAAUAACAGUUUGGUUUCAAGAUACCUGCAAGACAAAAGUUAAAAGUUACAUCUUAGGCAUAACUUACAAUUUACCCUCCUAUUGUUCCUUUAGUUCAACAAAGAAGUACUUUGCAUAAUUCAACCAACAAAAUUCUCCAACUAGCACUUAAAUCAAUCACAUGAGUAAAACAUAUCUUAUGACUUGGAGAAAGAAAUGAAACAAGCAUAAGCGGACAUAAAAUAAAGGGUUAAUGACUUCAAUGAUAUGUUCAUAGGGCAAAACCCUUGUUUCCCAGAAUCAAUAGAAUGACGAUAGAAAAUUACAUUUGAUAAUAAAUGGAAAUUUCAGCAUUUAGUCACACUCGCAAAUAACUUUGCAUAUCAGACCAAUAAUAUCACGGUUUGCUAAUAUUUGUGUCAAAGUUGAUAUCCAUGUCAAAGAAAUGUAAGUUAAAUUCUGAGAACACAUAAUCAUACAUUGCAUCUUUACUAGUUUUUAUGUCAAUCUCUAUUGUGAAUUUAAGAAUUCUAUGUAAACAUAUCAUUGUUUCAAGAUCAUUCAGAUCCUCGAGCAAUAGAUCAUUGAAUUCUCCACAAAAUGAGUUUGUCAACAUGAGAAUACGGUUAAGACAAGACGAAGACUAGUUUGCUCCCAAUAGAUUGCCAAUAAGAUGAUAGUAAGAAAGAGGCAUGUAGAACAUUGUUGGUCUCUAAGCUGUCCUCUUACGAUCUUCAUCAAUGGUACUUAAGACCUAGUUUCUUGCAAACUGCGGUAUCAAUAGAUGACAUUACAAGAUCAUAUAUUUCUACAUUGUCAAUUAUCUAGUGGUGUAUGCUGGAAUGCGAGGGGAUCUCAAACAGGAUGAGACCAUCCAAAAAAAAUCUAUCGCAUUUUAGGCUCCUAUUCGCAUGUUCAGGUGGUAGUCCAUGGUUUGGGAGGCGUUGAAUACACUUCCAAUUCAGAACUUCAGCCUGCCAUAGUUCUCCAACUAAAACAAGAUUUUUCUAGUUAGAUUGACAAUAUAGAAAUAUACGGUCUUGUUAUGUGUUGACUUCUGUUGAUAUUGCAGUUUAAAAGAAACUAGGUCUUGAGGUUCUCACCAUUGAUGAAGAUUGCAAGACGAAAGCUCAUACACCAACAAUGUUCUACAUGCCUCAUUCGUACUAUUGUCUAUUCGGCAAUUUAUUAGGAGCAAACUGGUCUUUGUCUUGUCUUAACCGGAUUCUCUUGCUGACAAACUCAUUUUGUAGAGAAUUCAAUGAUCUGCCACUUGAGGAUCUGAAUAAUCUUGAAACAAUGAUACACUUAUAGAGAAUUCUUAAAUUCACAAUAGUGAUGGACAUAAAACUAGCAAAGAUGAGAUGCAUGAACAUAAAACUAGCAAAGAUGAGCUGCAUGAACAUAAAACUAGCAAAGAUGAGAUGCAUGAUUAUGUGCUCUCAGAAUUUUUCUAACAUUUCUUUGACGUGGAUGCCAACUUUGACACAAACAUUGGCAAGUUAGGAUAUUAUUGGUUUGAUAUGUAAAGAUAUUUGGGGGUGUGAUUAAAUACUGAAAUUUUCCGUUAUUAUCAAAUGUAAUUUUUGUCAUUGAUUCUAGGAAACAAGGGUUUUGUCCUAUGAACAUAUUGUUGAAGUCAUUAGCUCUCUAUUUUAUGUCUGUGUAUGCUUGUUUCAUUUCUUUCUCGAGUCAUAAGAUGUGCUUUAAUCGUGUGAUUGAUUUAAGUGCUAGUUGGAAAAUUUCAUUGGUUGAAUUAUACAAAGUACUUAUUUGCUGAGCUGAAGGAAUAAUAGGAGGGAAGAGUGUAAGUUAUUCCUAAGAUAUAACUUUUAACUUUUGUUUUGCACGUAUAUUGAAACCAAACUGUUACCUGGUAUGCCAUACCAAGCGAUCAGACUAGUAAGAUGUUUGCAGAACUUUUGGGUCACUAUCGUAUGCCUUGUCAUGUCAAAUGGAAAUUGGUUCCUCUUUCUCCAAGUUGAGUAAACUAAACAUCUAUGGUAUUAGCACAAAGGGGAACCAAACAGGACAAUUUAGUGGUGUCUUCCAAGCUAAAGGAUUGUGUUAAGUAGCUAUAUGGGUGAUAUUAAUGUUCAAGACGAUGUGACUGCUGAACUUGAGGCCUUGACGCAUGAGUUGAAUAGAUGUAAGAAAGGAGAACCACACGUAGAACAAUUGAUUGUGGAGUCGGAUAAUGUUAUGCUUGUUCAAUAUGUUAAUGGUCGCCCUGAGCCAAAUGAAAUAACUAUGCAGAGGUUGAAGAAAAUUUCCAACUUGCUGAAAUGUAUAACUUGUGCAGUUUUAUCAUGUCACUGAAGAAGCCAAUAAAGCUAUUAGAGACUAUGUUUUGACAGAUGGACAACUUUGUUUUGGAUUCAAGGGGUAAGCUGAAUCUUUCUAGGUCGAACCAAGGUUUCAAUGAAAAUGAUCCUUUUAUUU